rnacentral:rRNA from 1 species
UACAGAGGGUGCAAGCGUUAAUCGGAUUUACUGGGCGUAAAGCGCGCGUAGGCGGCUAAUUAAGUCAAAUGUGAAAUCCCCGAGCUUAACUUGGGAAUUGCAUUCGAUACUGGUUAGCUAGAGUGUGGGAGAGGAUGGUGGAAUUCCAGGUGUAGCGGUGAAAUGCGUAGAGAUCUGGAGGAAUACCGAUGGCGAAGGCAGCCAUCUGGCCUAACACUGACGCUGAGGUGCGAAAGCAUGGGGAGCAAACAGGAUUAGAUACCCUGGUAGUCCAUGCCGUAAACGAUGUCUACUAGCCGUUGGGGCCUUUGAGGCUUUAGUGGCGCAGCUAACGCGAUAAGUAGACCGCCUGGGGGGUACGGUCGCAAGACUAAA